rnacentral:lncRNA from 1 species
GACCUUUGGGUUUAGUUUACAUUUUCUCUCUCUCUUUUUUUAUUAAUAAAUUCGGUCGAAGGCCAUUUUGAAAAAAUCGAGUGGGGCAGCCAUUGGCCACUAUUUCCUCUAAGAUAACAUUGCCGAAGACAUCUCCUCCUUUGAUGGGCGCCUCCAAACAUUUACGUCGACAUCGAACAUCAGCAAACCCAAGCGGUUUACUUCCCCCACUCCAAAAACACCACUAGAGUUUGCUCCUCGUCCUGCCGGCACAAACCAAC